UACGAAGGGUGCAAGCGUUACUCGGAAUUACUGGGCGUAAAGCGUGCGUAGGCGGUUUGUUAAGUCCGCUGUGAAAGCCCUGGGCUCAACCUGGGAAUUGCAGUGGAUACUGGCAAGCUAGAGUGCGGUAGAGGAUGGUGGAAUUCCCGGUGUAGCGGUGAAAUGCGUAGAGAUCGGGAGGAACACCCGUGGCGAAGGCGGCCAUCUGGACCCGCACUGACGCUGAGGCACGAAAGCGUGGGGAGCAAACAGG
rnacentral:rRNA from 1 species